AGCAGCCGCGGUAAUUCCAGCUCCAAUAGCGUAUAUUAAAGUUGUUGCAGUUAAAAAGCUCGUAGUUGAAUUUCGGGGUUCUACCGUUGGUCGGGCAACAGUCUGUACUGGCGUGUAGAAUUUCUACCUUCUGGGGAACCAUCAUGUUAUUAAUUUAGCGUGGUGGGAAACCAGGACCUUUACCUUGAAAAAUUAGAGUGUUCAAAGCAGGCUUACGUCUGAAUACAUUAGCAUGGAAUAAUAAAAUAGGACGGUGGUCCUGUUUUGUUGGUUUCUGAAUCACCGUAAUGAUUAAUAGGGAUAGUUGGGGCAUUAGUAUUCAAUUGUCAGAGGUGAAAUUCUUGGAUUUAUUGAAGACUAACUUCUGCGAAAGCAUUUGCCAAGGAUGUUUUCAUUAAUCAAGAACGAAAGUUAGGGAUCGAAGACGAUCAGAUACCGUCGUAGUCUUAACCAUAAACUAUGCCGACUAGGGAUCGGACGAUGUUAAUUUUCUGACUCAUUC
rnacentral:rRNA from 1 species